AAAUUUGCUCUCAGUUCAGGCUGCAAUGCUGGGUCCCGCCCCUUCUUCCGGCUGGGUUCCACUACCUGCAAGGCUGGAACUGACAGCCACUGUGCAAACAAAAAAAGGCAACAAGCAUGCUGGGACCAUUCUGUCUGCUGUUUGGGUCUCACUUGUCCUGACAACUAAAAAUCAUCAGUGGAAAGAAGCUAGAGUCAUCCUAACAAGAGUGAUAGUCUUUCCCCAAGUGAGACCAGGCUGUGCUGUCUGGGGAAAAGCAUUGCUGGCCUUGUCGAGAUGCACCGACGACUCAGCUCAGCUAAGGACUUAACCAGUACAGGACUUGCUGCAGCGGAGCCUGAGCUGGAUAUGGAAAGCAAAAGGGUGACAUGCAAAAGGAACAUCUAAAUGCUCUUCCUGUGAUCUUUG
rnacentral:lncRNA from 1 species